rnacentral:tRNA from 1 species
GGGCACGUGGUGUAGUUGGUUAUCACGCUCGCUUAGCAGUUCGUGAGAAUGCGAGAGGGGUCCGGUUCGAUCCCGGACGUGUCCA